GUAGCUUAAUACAAAGCAUAGCACUGAAGAUGCUAAGAUGAGUCCUAAAAAACUCCGCAUGCACAAAGGCGUGGUCCCGACCUUAUUAUCAGCUCUAACUCAACUUACACAUGCAAGUCUCCGCAAUCCAGUGAGUAUGCCCUCAAUCCCCCGCCCGGGGACGAGGAGCGGGCAUCAGGCACAAACACUUAGCCCAAGACGCCUGGCCUAGCCACACCCCCAAGGGAAUUCAGCAGUGAUAAACAUUAAGCCAUAAGUGAAAACUUGACUCAGUUAGUGUUAAAAGGGCCGGUAAAACUCGUGCCAGCCACCGCGGUUAGACGAGAGGCCCUAGUUGAUAAUGCAACGGCGUAAAGGGUGGUUAAGGAUAGACAAAAAUAAAGCCAAAUGGCCCUUUGGCCGUCAUACGCUCCUAGGUGUCCGAAGCCCCAACACGAAAGUAGCUUUAACAACCCCACCUGACCCCACGAAAGCUGAGAAACAAACUGGGAUUAGAUACCCCACUAUGCUCAGCCGUAAACUUAGACAUCCAACUACAAUUAGAUGUCCGCCAGGGUACUACGAGCAUUAGCUUAAAACCCAAAGGACCUGACGGUGUCUCAGACCCCCCUAGAGGAGCCUGUUCUAGAACCGAUAACCCCCGUUAAACCUCACCACUCCUAGCCACCCCAGCCUAUAUACCGCCGUCGUCAGCUUACCCUGUGAAGGUAAUAAAAGUAAGCAAAAUGGGCACAACCCAGAACGUCAGGUCGAGGUGUAGCGCAUGAAGUGGAAAGAAAUGGGCUACAUUUUCUAUCACAGAAUAUUACGAACAUGCAUCAUGAAACAAUGCUUGAAGGAGGAUUUAGUAGUAAAAAGGAAAUAGAGUGUCCCUUUGAACCCGGCUCUGAGACGCGUACACACCGCCCGUCACUCUCCCCUGUCAAAACGCAUUAAAAAUAUUUAAUAAACUAGCACUGACAAGGGGAGGCAAGUCGUAACACGGUAAGUGUACCGGAAGGUGCACUUGGAUCAAACC
rnacentral:ncRNA from 1 species